rnacentral:tRNA from 1 species
UGGGCUGUAGCUCAGUGGUAGAGCACUUGCCUCACAGGUGUGAGGCCCUGAGUUCGAUCCUCAGCACCGCAU